rnacentral:lncRNA from 1 species
GCCACCACACCUGACCAAAAAUAUUCCAUCUUAAGGUGCCAAUUACUUCAUAAACUUUAAGAUAGUUAUGUUUUAUUCCUGGGGAAUACCCCUGAGUGCCACCCUGCGAUUCGCGCUCGAGUAGCUGUGAGAAAAGCCGCUUCGUGUCGGGGGUCGACUGUUCCCUGCUGGCCAGCUGUGGGUGUGGAGCCAGUGACUUUGCCUCUUCACAUCUUGGUGACUCCGUGGCUGUGUGGACACAGGAUUGCAGGGGCAGGAGUGGAAGCAAGAAGCCUCCUAAGGAGAUGGAUGCUGGAGCUGUGGUGAGAGGGAAGGGGGGCCAGGGCUGAGAAGGGGUGGAGAGAGGUGGGUUGACUAGGACACAUGGCAGAGCCGGUGCGCUGGCUGUAUGGAGUGAGGACUAAUGGGGAAUCAAGGACGUCCAGCUGUGGAUGGCAGAAGGGCCACUGUCUGAAGUGGGAAGUCUGGACAUUCCCAAAGGAGUCUUUGAAAGACUGGGUCUUCUCCUGAGCCUGAGAGCAGUGCUUCUUCCAAUGGCACUGCUUCCAUUUUAAGCAUCAGCAUGGCCCGGGAGCUUGUUGGAAUGAAGAAUCUCCAGCUCCACCCGAAACCUGCUGAAUCAGAACCAGCAUUUAACACGUCACCAGGAUCCCAGGUCACUUGGCUGUCCUUGGCUCAACUGUGAGUAAGGAGGAGUCCUGCGGAAUGAAAAAUGACUACCCAGAUUUGCCACCAAAAUCCAGCAGGAGUGCCUUAGAAAGCAGGUAAGGCAUAGGAGCCCCAGUCUUGGGGCACAAGAAGAAUGGUCUCCAUCUGUCCGGUCCUCUUCAUGGGAGGAGCCCUUGCCUGUGCACUCUUUUUUUUUUUUUUUUUUU